GAAAGGAGAUAGGAGAGGAUUGGAGCAAGAUUUCUCAUAUCCCACAAAUCUUCAUCGAUGGAGAGAGAUCAAAUGAGGAGCAACUUAAAAGGUAAGCACAAUGCUUGCAACAGAGAUACAGCAUACAACAGAGAGUGAACAAACAAGAAGCGGACAGGACAGACACAUCACAUACUUAAAAGGUAAGCACAAUGCUUGCAAUUAGUCCAACCUUUUCUGGGUUUGACAGUUUGUGAACAUGUCCAGUUACAUUAUGCCCCCUGCUUUUGAAACAUAAAUCUUCUUUUUGACUCCCAUGGUUCUACUUCUACCCUUUUUUCUGAUACAUGUCUUGUGUUCUAAGUUUUGGUUGUGAGGCGGAUCUGACCCUCGACGCAUACUUGUACCCAAUCCUGUGCCCAAAACUGUGUGACAGAGCCCAAUCUAUACAGUCUCAACAUUUGUUUAUUUCUGUCCAAUCUGCUUUCUCAAGUAAAUUGUGUGUCCCUGCACAUAAGUUUCUCAGUUGGACAUUUGAUAUUUUAGAUGAUCCUGAUGAAAUUGUUUUUCUAAAUUUGUAUUUCAAUACUUCUUAGAGGCUGGGGCUAUUGUUGCAACAGUGGUAUGUUUCAGUUUACUGAACUAUCCUGCAAAUGGCAAAUGGCAAAUGGCAAAUGGCAAAUGGCAAAUGGCAAAUGGCAAAUGGAAAAUGUUUUAGUGCACUCUGUUUGCUGCACAUCCUGUGUAGGGGAUGGAGUAGAAAUACCUUAUUUUCUCGUCUUUCAAGUUUUACAAUCCAUCAUACUUUCCUUUUAAUGUGAAAUAGUUUUAGUUUUUUAUGUAGCUAUGCAUCGAGAGUUUUCUCUCAUGUCGUCAAUAUCGAUAAAGUUGAUAUUGGAUCUGCAAGUUUCAAAGCGGCUUAGCCUCUCAUCUUCUUCAUCUUCUUCAUCUUCGUCGAUGAAUGUUAUGGAGGUCUUUUGGAGCCGCCCUUCAAUAUGGGUGCAUCAAGGUAAAUAUUGGUGGAUGUUCUCUUGGCAACCCUGGACAUUCUAACGCUGGUGGGGUUGUUAGGGACUUUUAUGGUCAUUUCUUUGAGGUGCUUCUCUUCAUGUGAAGGUAUUUCUUCUGAUUACUGGGCUGAAUUUGCUGCCUUUCCAAUUAAAAUUGCUAUGGCUUUGGACUUCAACAAUCUCUGUGUUGAAUGUGAUUCUCAUUCAGUGGUUCUGUGUAUUAAGGAAUCUUCAAGCACUUGGUAAUUUAAGCAGAAGUGGUUCUUCAGUAAUGCCUACCUGUGUAGAAUCACUUGGACUAUCUCCCACGGCUUCCAUGAAGUAAAUACAGUGGCAGAUCGUUUUGCUGUUGCUACAACGCAUGAAUCUAUGGUCUAGGACGAGGUGCCAAGGUUUUCUCUCGCAGAUUUUAGUUGGUGUGUUCAAGAGAGACCUCAGUUUCGUUUUAAGUGAGGUCUUGCUGUUUUUGGUUUCUUGUUUGUUUGCUGGAUUUCUAAUCUGCUGAUGGCCAUGCCGAAGAUGGAUUAGGAAUCUGGUUUUGUUUCAUUCUGUUAGGGAUUUGCUUUAUUUCAUUCAUUCUUUUCAAUAAAAUAUAUUGCUUAUUCCUAGCAAAAAAAAGUUACCACACCUCAACUCUCCCCCUCCCCCUUAAAAAAACGAAACUUAUGACAUUAACCCUUUCCUUAUAGUUGUCACAUUGUUUUUGACUAGUUGGGGUACAAUGCCAUAAUAUUUAUUUCUUAGGUUACAAAGGAAUGGCAAAAUAAAGCACUCUAAAGUUUUCAUGGAAAAUGUCGACUUGAUUACGUUCUCUUUUACUCGAAGCAAAAACAAUUCGAAUAGUUUGAUUCUUCUUGGCUUCAUUAAGUUAUGUACUUCUUUUCAGGUUUCCUUGAUCCUUAGAGGUGCAAAUCACUACAUGCUUGAUGAGAUGGAGCGAGCUUUGCAUGGUGCUUUAGCGUCUUUAAGAGAAUACUUAAGAGUCCAAAUUGACUAGAAACAAGUCUUGCGGGGUAUGCACGCUUUUAUUUGCCACGUGGCUGGCUAAGUUGGGGCUGAAAUUUUAUGGAUUGUAUGAGGUUUUAGAGCUUCCCAGGGAACCAUCCACAACAACUUAGAAGCUGAGAUUAUUGAGCCAGCAAUGAGCAAAGUGAAGAUUUACAGGCAGAGACAAAAAGACUUAGUAGAAUGUCAAUAUUUUACAGAGAGAGGGGAGGUAUGGGAAAGGGUAGGGCUUAAGGCAGAGAGAUCAGAGAUGAGAAAGCUGACUCUCUUCAGUUCCAUCUUGAAGAUGGGUACAGAGUUUGAUUUCCUAUGUCUCUUUUUCUCAUAGGAUGGAUCAUCCCCUUCUUCAAUUAGAAAUAUAAAUAGAAAGAGAGGUUUCUCCCAUGUCAUAUACAAAUUCUCAUCGAAAAGAUAAUUAUGUUUCUAUGAAGAUUUAUUUUCAUACAAUUUCGUUUGUAUACAUAUAGUAUUUCUAUUGCAAGACACAAAGAAAAGGACAAUGUAGAGGAUGGGUAAUGAGAGGUCUGAUUCUUUUCA